rnacentral:rRNA from 1 species
GACGAACGCUGGCGGCGUGCUUAACACAUGCAAGUCGAACGGAAAGGCCCUGCUUUUGUGGGGUGCUCGAGUGGCGAACGGGUGAGUAACACGUGAGUAACCUGCCCUUGACUUUGGGAUAACUUCAGGAAACUGGGGCUAAUACCGGAUAGGAGCUCCUGCUGCAUGGUGGGGGUUGGAAAGUUUCGGCGGUUGGGGAUGGACUCGCGGCUUAUCAGCUUGUUGGUGGGGUAGUGGUUUACCAAGGCUUUGACGGGUAGCCGGCCUGGGCGGGGGACCGGCCACAAUGGGCCUGAGAUACGGCCCAGACUCCUACGGGAGGCAGCAGUGGGGAAUAUUGCACAAUGGGCGGAAGCCUGAUGCAGCAACGCCGCGUGCGGGAUGACGGCCUUCGGGUUGUAAACCGCUUUCGCCUGUGACGAAGCGUGAGUGACGGUAAUGGGUAAAGAAGCACCGGCUAACUACGUG